UACAGAGGGGGCGAGCGUUGUUCGGAAUUACUGGGCGUAAAGGGCGCGUAGGCGGCCAACUAAGUCAGACGUGAAAUCCCUCGGCUCAACCGGGGAACUGCGUCUGAUACUGGAUGGCUUGAAUUCGGGAGAGGGAUGCGGAAUUCCAGGUGUAGCGGUGAAAUGCGUAGAUAUCUGGAGGAACGCCGGUGGCGAAGGCGGCAUCCUGGACCAACACUGACACUGAGGAGCGAAAGCCAGGGGAGCAAACGGG
rnacentral:rRNA from 1 species